rnacentral:rRNA from 1 species
GACGACGCUGGCGGCGUGCUUAACACAUGCAAGUCGAACGAGUGGCGAACGGGUGAGUAAUGUCUGGGAAACUGCCCGAUGGAGGGGGAUAACUACUGGAAACGGUAGCUAAUACCGCAUACCAUCGGAUGUGCCCAGAUGGGAUUAGCUAGUGGGUGGGGUAAUGGCUCACCUAGGCGACGAUCCCUAGCUGGUCUGAGAGGAUGAUCAGCCACACUGGAACUGAGACACGGCCCAGACUCCUACGGGAGGCAGCAGUGGGGAAUAUUGCACAAUGGGCGCAAGCCUGAUGCAGCCAUGCCGCGUGUAUGAAGAAGGCCUUCGGGUUGUAAAGUACUUUCAGCGGGGAGGCGUUACCCGCAGAAGAAGCACCGGCUAACUCCGUGCCAGCAGCCGCGGUAAUUC